CUUCACAGUAGUAAGACAUUGAUCAGUGGAAUUUUCCAUCACACUAUAAGUCCGACCCAUUAACCACCCCAUUAAGGUUUGGUCAACAGUAUAUAAGUCAGGUACAUUUGAACAGGUGGGUCUGAGACUCACACUUGUCUCUGGAGGAGAAAGGAGUUCAUGAGCUUCAGUGUUGGCUGCAAACGUCAUUGACAGAAUUAUCUGGUCACACUUCAUUGCUUAGCUACUGAGAAAUUAAUAAAAAAUGGGGAACGUACCAUCAGAGAGUAACAUGGGCAACAGCCUGAGAUGCUGUGUAUGUGAUAAAGUCUUGCCUCCGUGCCAUUCUUUUGACAAUUUGUACAAAACUACUCUCCAUGGCCAAUAUGUUUAUGUCUUCAAUGGAGGCGAAUACUACAAACCAGUCGGUUACGAUAAUCGAUACCAUUGCCAACAUUGUUUUUAUAAGCCAAUCAGAGAUGAGGAACAAAGGCAGAGAGAGGAGGAGAGGAGGAGAGAAGAAGAGAGAAAGAGAGAGGAGGAGAGAAAAGAAGAGGAGAGAAAGAGAGAGCAGCAGAGACAAGAA